rnacentral:rRNA from 1 species
UACGGGGGGAGCAAGCGUUGUUCGGAUUUACUGGGCGUAAAGGGCGCGUAGGCGGCCACCGCAGGUCGAUUGGGAAAUCUCCGGGCUUAACCCGGAAAGGUCAACCGAUACUGCGGGGCUAGAGUGCAGAAGGGGCAACUGGAAUUCUCGGUGUAGCGGUGAAAUGCGUAGAUAUCGAGAGGAACACCUGCGGCGAAGGCGGGUUGCUGGGCUGACACUGACGCUGAUGCGCGAAAGCUAGGGGAGCGAACGGG